AGGCAGUUAGUUUAAAUAAAGCACUUGAUUUCGGCUCAAAAGCUUGUGGUUGAAGUCCACAACUACCUA
rnacentral:tRNA from 1 species